UUUCUAAGUCAUCACACGGGUUAUUCCUACCUGACGGACAACUUGGUAAAGGUGGACAAAGGAGAAUAUACGUAUCCAAGAGGGGAAUUCAGCUUGAUAAAGAGGAACUAUCUCCCACGUAGAACAUAUCUCAUAUGAAAAGCAUAGAGAAGCAAACUGAACAGUGUCUGGAAUUUCCAUAACAGUCUAACUGUGCUCCACGUAGGACUUUAUCGGUUCGACAGGAUUCUAGUCUCCUUUGUGAUACUAACAGAAGAAGACAAGAACACAAAAAGUGAACACCUGCAAAUACAGAACAAUUGUCACGUAGACAUCAGCCGGCAGAGACACUGAAGAACGAUCUACACAGUGACUCUAGCAAGACCUAAAGUGUGAU